rnacentral:lncRNA from 1 species
UCCCUUCUAUCUCUCUCACUAUUGAGUAUUUACUAUUUACCAAAAUCCCAAAUUGAACCCUACCAGAGCAAACACCCAUUAGAAGCCCUAGCUACCACCUUCUUCAUCAUUGAUCUCCUUUCCUUGGCCACCGACGGGACAGACUGUGGGUCUCGUGUUCAAGCUCUCUCUCUCUCUCUCUCUCUGUGUCUUUGUCCAAGCUCAAGGUCCCUCUUCGGGCUCUCUUGCUGUCGCUGCUUCUUUGCUCCUCGCCGUGGGUCGUCGCUGCUCUACUCCUCACCGUGGGUCGUCGCUGUUCCACUCCUCACCGUUUUGGCUGUCGCCCCUUCUCUUCUCCUCUGAUUUUAGGUAACUCUGUCUCAGACUCUCCGAGCUCAUUCUGUCUUUGGCUCUUUGCCAUUCAUCUUUUUUCCAACUAAUUUUGAAGAUUCUGAGCUGAGUCUCUGUUCUGAGUUUGAAAUUGAAUUAUUUAUUUGUUUUGUUGAAUGUUAAACCAAAGCCGCUGGAAUUGUUGAAGACAAGAUAUUUGCACUCUGUCACAGCAAACUAUACUUAUAAUUUAAAAUCUUUCUUUCCCUGUUGUAAUGCUACCAAAAAAAAAUCCCAAUUGAUUUUUCUAAUGUUUUAUUUAUUUUGUUGAUGAACAGAUUGGAAUAGGGCUUAUGGUAUGCUAGCAAUUUGGUGGAAUCAAUGGAAUUUGUAACUGAAUUGAAUUGAAUUGAAUUUUGUCUUAUAUUUGAAAUUUGUAAUUGAAUUAAAAUUAGUUUAAAAAUAUUGAAUUUAAAUAUUUGAAAUUGAAUAUUAAUUUUUAAAUAAUUUUAAUGUAUAUUUAAUUAAAUCGGUUCGACUCCGGUUCGACUCCGAUUUAAUUCUGAUUAGACCGUUAAACUAUUAAACCAGUUAUUUGAUCGAUUCAAUGGCCGGUUCAGUUUUCGCAACCUAAAAAGUAAGAUAUAUUUAUGAAUUUAUUAGUAAUGAAUAUCUAAAAGAAACAAUUUAAGUGAUUAAUUUUUGUUAUUUCUGAUGUAUAUACAUCUUUAUAAUAAAUACUAUUUUGAUAUCAGUAUUUUUUUAAUAAUUAUAC